rnacentral:tRNA from 1 species
GGGCCGGUAGAUCAGCCUGGAAGAUCGCCCGCCUGGCGUGCGGGAGGUCCUGGGUUCAAAUCCCAGCCGGUCCA